GCCGCGGUAAUUCCAGCUCCAAUAGCGUAUACUAAAGUUGUUGCGGUUAAAAAGCUCGUAGUUGGAUCUUGGAAUGUGUUCAAGCGGGUCAGCUUCUGGCUGUGCGCUGCUUGACGUGUUCUUCUAUUUGGUUUUGGUGCGGUGCGCUUAACUGCGUGUCGCUCCCGGCCGAAACGUUUACCUUGAAAAAAUUAGAGUGUUCAAAGCAGACCUGUUUGAGUCUGAAUAUUCGUGCAUGGAAUAAUGAAAUAUGAAUUCGGUUCUAUUUUGUUGGUUUUCGGAACUCGAGUUAAUGAUCAAGAGGGACAGACGGGGGCAUUCGUACUCUGCCGUUAGAGGUGAAAUUCUUGGAUCGGCGGAAGACGCGCAACUGCGAAAGCAUUUGCCAAGAAUGUUUUCUUUAAUCAAGAACGAUAGUCGGAGGUUCGAAGACGAUCAGAUACCGUCCUAGUUUCGACUGUAAACUAUGCCAGCUAACGAUCAGACAGAGUUCUCUACGACUUGUCUGGCAGUUUCCGGGAAACCAAAGCGUUUGGGUUCCGGGGGAAGUAUGGUUGCAAAGCUGAAACUUAAAGGAAUUGACGGAAGGGCACCACCAGGAGUGGAGCCUGCGGCUUAAUUUGACUCAACACGGGGAAACUCACCCGGCCCGGACACAGUGAGGAUUGACAGAUUGAGAGUUCUUUCUUGAUUCUGUGGGUGGUGGUGCAUGGCCGUUCUUAGUUGGUGGAGCGAUUUGUCUGGUUAAUUCCGAUAACGAACGAGACUCUGGCAUGUUAAAUAGUCGCGGAAGUGCGUAUGCACUUGCCGAAUUGACUUCUUAGAGGGACUAGUGAUUUUAAUUCACACGAGAUUGAGCAAUAACAGGUCUGUGAUGCC
rnacentral:rRNA from 1 species